rnacentral:rRNA from 1 species
UACGUAGGCAGCGAGCGUUGUUCGGAGUUACUGGGCGUAAAGAGUGCGUAGGCGGUUUUCUAAGUUUGGUGUGAAAUCUCCCGGCUUAACUGGGAGGGUGCGCCGAAGACUGGAAGGCUUGAGUAUGGGAGAGGUAAGCGGAAUUCCUGGUGUAGCGGUGAAAUGCGUAGAUAUCAGGAGGAACACCGGUGGCGAAGGCGGCUUGCUGGGCCAGUUCUGACGCUGAGGAGCGAAAGCGUGGGGAGCGAACAGG